AGCGAACGCUGGCGGCAGGCCUAACACAUGCAAGUCGAACGAAGUCUUCGGACUUAGUGGCGGACGGGUGAGUAACACGUGGGAACGUACCUUUUGGUUCGGAACAACUCAGGGAAGCUUGAGCUAAUACCGGAUGAGCCCUUAGGGGGAAAGAUUUAUCGCCGAAAGAGCGGCCCGCGUUAGAUUAGCUAGUUGGUGAGGUAAAGGCUCACCAAGGCUACGAUCUAUAGCUGGUCUGAGAGGAUGAUCAGCCACACUGGGACUGAGACACGGCCCAGACUCCUACGGGAGGCGGCAGUGGGGAAUCUUGCGCAAUGGGCGAAAGCCUGACGCAGCCAUGCCGCGUGAAUGAUGAAGGUCUUAGGAUUGUAAAAUCCUUUCACCGGUGAAGAUAAUGACUGUAGCCGGAGAAGAAGCCCCGGCUAACUUCGUGCCAGCCGCCGCCGUAACAC
rnacentral:rRNA from 1 species